GACGAACGCUGGCGGCGUGCUUAACACAUGCAAGUCGAACGAAGAGCGAUGGACGCUUGCUUCUAUCAAUCUUAGUGGCGACCGGGUGAGUAACGCGUAAUCAACCUGCCCUUCAGAGGGGGACAACAGUUGGAAACGACUGCUAAUACCGCAUACGAUCUAAUCUCGGCAUCGAGGAUAGAUGAAAGGUGGCCUCUACAUGUAAGCUAUCACUGAAGGAGGGGAUUGCGUCUGAUUAGCUAGUUGGAGGGGUAACGGCCCACCAAGGCGAUGAUCAGUAGCCGGUCUGAGAGGAUGAACGGCCACAUUGGGACUGAGACACGGCCCAGACUCCUACGGGAGGCAGCAGUGGGGAAUCUUCCGCAAUGGACGAAAGUCUGACGGAGCAACGCCGCGUGAGUGAUGACGGCCUUCGGGUUGUAAAGCUCUGUUAAUCGGGACGAAAGGCCUUCUUGCGAACAGUUAGAAGGAUUGACGGUACCGGAAUAGAAAGCCACGGCUAACUACGUG
rnacentral:rRNA from 1 species